UAACAUUGAGUAUGUUUUUUAUUUUUAAAUUUGUACUAACUUAAAUGUAUACAUAAAUGGGUAUUCGUAUAUUUACAUAUGUUAAUUUGUUUCUUUUUUUACAACAUAUUAUAUUAAGUUUAUAGUCUUAAUUGUUUGUAGUUUAAACAUACCAUAUAAAUCAGUUUGUAUUUAUUUUUUUUAUUUUUUUCAUAUUGAAGGAUUACAAAAGUUACAAGACAAUUUUAUGUGUAAAAAGGAAUAAUAUUAUUAAAUAUAUAAUUUUGACGUUAACUGAUACUAAUUUUUACUUGUGGCUGGAAAAUGAACAGCAUCCCUUUUACGUUUCUCCAGCAAGCAAUGAUUUAUAUUCUUGCUGUGAAUUUAGUCAAACAAGAAUAGGGGUUAUAUAUAUUGGAAAAAAAAAUGGACAUAUAGAAAUAUGGAAUUUGUUGGAACAUAAAGACCAUUGCAUAUAUUCAAUAUCCAUAAGUAGUUAUAGUUUAACAUGUAUCAGCAUUUCUAAUUAUUUAGAUAAUACAUUAAUUAAUAUGAAUGAAAAAAAAAUGAUAAGUUUUGUAGAUAAUAAUAAAUAUAAUGAUCUUGAAAAUUGGGAUGAAAUUGUAGACACCAAUGAAGAGUUGAUAAACAAAGAUGAAGAUGAUGUUUAUAAAUAUUCUUAUAAUAAAAUAAUAAUUGGCGAUUCCAGUGGCUGCGUUUUUGUUUAUCAAAUUGAAGAAAGCUUUUUAAAUCCAACUAAAAAAGAAAUUGAUGAAUUUUUAUUAUGGACCGAUAACAUGAUACGUGUAAAUAAACAAAUUAAAGAAAGACAACUGCAGUUAAGCGAAGUAAGUUUUAUUUAUUUAUUUUUUUUUUUUUUAGUGUGUCUUUUUUUUUAACCUGUAUGAUUUCCUAAUUGUG
rnacentral:lncRNA from 1 species